rnacentral:tRNA from 2 species
ACAGGUUUGGUGUAAUUGGCAACAUAAUGGUCUCCAAAACCAUUGUUGCAGGUUCGAAUCCUGCAAUCCGUG